rnacentral:rRNA from 1 species
AUUGAACGCUGGCGGCAGGCCUAACACAUGCAAGUCGAGCGGGGUUUUCGGACCUAGCGGCGGACGGGUGAGUAAUGCGUAGGAAGCUGCCCGAUAGAGGGGGAUACCAGUUGGAAACGACUGUUAAUACCGCAUAAUGUCUACGGACCAAAGUGUGGGACCUUCGGUCCACAUGCUAUCGGAUGCGCCCACGUGGGAUUAGCUAGUUGGUGAGGUAAUGGCUCACCAAGGCGACGAGCUGUAGCGGGUCUGAGAGGAUGAUCUCGCCACACUGGGGCUGAGACACGGCCCAGACUCCUACGGGAGGCAGCAGUGGGGAAUAUUGGACAAUGGGCGUAAGCCUGAUCCAGCCAUGCCGCGUGUGUGAAGAAGGCCUUUUGGUUGUAAAGCACUUUAAGCGAGGAGGAGGCUACCUAGGUUAAUACUCUGGGAUAGUGGACGUUACUCGCAGAAUAAGCACCGGCUAACUCUGUGCCAGCCGCCGCCGUAACAC